rnacentral:rRNA from 1 species
CAUGCAAGUCGAACGAAGCUUGACGGAUGAUUUCUUCGGAAUGAAACCAGAUAUGACUUAGUGGCGGACGGGUGAGUAACACGUGAGCAACCUGCCUUUCAGAGGGGGAUAACGGCUGGAAACGGUCGCUAAUACCGCAUGAUGUGUUCGGAUGGCAUCAUUUGAACAUCAAAGAUUUAUCGCUGAAAGAUGGGCUCGCGUCUGAUUAGAUAGUUGGUGGGGUAACGGCCUACCAAGUCUACGAUCAGUAGCCGGACUGAGAGGUUGAACGGCCACAUUGGGACUGAGAUACGGCCCAGACUCCUACGGGAGGCAGCAGUGGGGAAUAUUGCACAAUGGGGGAAACCCUGAUGCAGCAACGCCGCGUGAAGGAUGACGGUUUUCGGAUUGUAAACUUCUUUUCUUAGCGACGAAGACAGUGACGGUAGCUAAGGAAUAAGCAUCGGCUAACUACGUGCCAGCAGCCGCGGUAAUACGUAGGAUGCAAGCGUUAUCCGGAUUUACUGGGUGUAAAGGGAGCGCAGGCGGGACUGCAAGUUGGAUGUGAAAUACCGUGGCUUAACCACGGAACUGCAUCCAAAACUGUAGUUCUUGAGUGAAGUAGAGGCAAGCGGAAUUCCGAGUGUAGCGGUGAAAUGCGUAGAUAUUCGGAGGAACACCAGUGGCGAAGGCGGCUUGCUGGGCUUUAACUGACGCUGAGG